CCCCCUCUGCUGUUGAAAAUAAUAAUUACAUGAUUGCUCCGGUCUGGUACUACAAAGGCUACCUGCUGCUCGGGUUUCUCAGUGUAUUUGCUGUUUUGGACGUGCUGUAAAACGGGGACAUUAAGGGGAAACAAUGCAGAUUUAUCUAGUUUAAUAUUAAGGCACAUUUUAAACUUUAUAAACUCUAACUAGCUUACGGUAGCGACGUGAGCUAACGUUACUGUGUUAAUAUGUAUACAAUACGACAGAUCGGCUGCCAAGCUCCCUCCCUUCACAUAAAGUUAGUGGUUAUCUAUUAUCGCCGUCUUCACUCCUCUUUAGGAAACCAAAACAUUUGUUAUUUUUAAUGAGGUAUUUUUUGCAGAGUUCAGUUUAGCUACUGGUCAGACCAUUAAACAGACUGCCCAGACGGGUGAAAACGUACGUGCGUCCAAUGAAACCGACACGUGACACAGACGCGUUUCAGGGAAUUCCCCCAUAGACUGUAAAAAAAAUCCCCCUAAUAAUUCCCCCAUUAUGACGUCAUAUAGAACGUUCACUCAAGCGUGUUUAGAACUGGAUUAUUCCAUCAUUCUAAGGUAAGUAUAAGAACAGUAAAGGUGCAGAAAACAGGCGUUGCGAGACACUCGUAUUUAUUGCCAGCAUUUUAAUUCAGGGGUGAAAGUGACAUGCUUGUCAAGUAUGCAGUGCAUACUUAAAAUGAGACCUCUGAAUUUAACCCAUCACAGUGAGUAGUACACACACACACACACACACACACACACACACACACACACACACACACACACACACACACACACACACACACACACACACACACACACACACACACACACACACACACACACACACACACACACACACACACACACACACACACACACACACACACACACACACACACACACACACACACACACACACACACAAAGAAGUGGGCAGCUACCCCAGCACCCGGGGAGCAAUUAGGCAAAGUUGCCUUGAUUAAGGGCACCACAGUUGCAACACACUGGCCGGAAAUCUUGAACCGGCAACUCUCGGGUUAAAAGCCCGACUCUCACCACUAGGCUACAACUGCCCCAGGUGGAGGACAAUGGGAGGUUUCAGAUUUAUUGCCAGCAUUUUAAUUCAAACCAGUGGGAGGAGGAGGGCCAUUAUACACAAAAAAGUUUUCUUUCAGAUUUAUUUCCAGCAUUUUAAUUCAGAGGUGGAUGCCAGUGGGAGGAGGAGGGCCAUUAUACACAAAAAAGUUUUCUUUCAG